rnacentral:misc_RNA from 1 species
GUUGAAGAACGUAGCGAAAUGCGAUACGUAGUGUGAAUUGCAGAAUUCAGUGAAUCAUCGAAUCUUUGAACGCACAUUGCACCUCUCGGUAUUCCGGGAGGUAUGCCUGUUCGAGCGUCAUUUGUACCCUCAAGCUCUGCUUGGUGUUGGGUGUUUGUUCCGCCUCUGUGUGUGAACUCGCCUCAAAACAAUUGGCAGCCGGCGUACUUGUUUCGGAGCGCAGCACAUUUUGCGAUCCAGAUCAACGUACAGCGGCAUCCAAGAAGCCUUAUUUAACGCUCUUGACCUCGGAUCAGGUAGGGAUACCCGCUGAACUUAAGCAUAUCAAUAAGCGGAGGA